AAUUGAAGAGUUUGAUCAUGGCUCAGAUUGAACGCUGGCGGCAGGCCUAACACAUGCAAGUCGAGCGGUAACAGGAGAAGCUUGCUUCUCGCUGACGAGCGGCGGACGGGUGAGUAAUGUAUGGGGAUCUGCCCGAUAGAGGGGGAUAACCACUGGAAACGGUGGCUAAUACCGCAUAAUCUCUAAGGAGCAAAGCAGGGGAACUUCGGUCCUUGCGCUAUCGGAUGAACCCAUAUGGGAUUAGCUAGUACGUGAGGUAAUGUUUCACCUAAGCGACGAUCCCUAACUGCUCCCACACCAUGAUCUUCCACUCUGGGACUGAGACACGGGCCAUACUC
rnacentral:rRNA from 1 species